GACGAACGCUGGCGGCGUGCUUAACACAUGCAAGUCGAACGGUGACGAGGAGCUUGCUCCUCCGAUCAGUGGCGAACGGGUGAGUAACACGUGAGCAACCUGCCCCUCACUCUGGGAUAACAGUUGGAAACAGCUGCUAAUACCGGAUACGACACAGACAGGCAUCUGUACUGUGUGGAAAGUUUUUCGGUGAGGGAUGGGCUCGCGGCCUAUCAGCUAGUUGGUGAGGUAAUGGCUCACCAAGGCGACGACGGGUAGCCGGCCUGAGAGGGCGACCGGCCACACUGGGACUGAGACACGGCCCAGACUCCUACGGGAGGCAGCAGUGGGGAAUAUUGCACAAUGGGCGAAAGCCUGAUGCAGCGACGCCGCGUGAGGGAUGACGGCCUUCGGGUUGUAAACCUCUUUCAGCAGGGAAGAAGCGAAAGUGACGGUACCUGCAGAAGAAGCACCGGCUAACUACGUG
rnacentral:rRNA from 1 species